UGGCACUGUAUCAGCCAUCCUCCAUGUCAGCCAACGUGAGAGAGACCAUGAACAUCACCUGCUCUGGGAGUAGCAGCUACUGGUAUGGCUGGUAUCAGCAGAAGGUAUCUGCCAAUGGUUCCCUGGUCCAAGCAGCACCACUGAGCCUCCAAUCCUCAUUGUCAGCCAACGUGGGAGGCACCAUCAAGAUCGCCUGCUCUGGGAGUAGCAACUACUAUGGCUGGUACCAGCAGAAGGUCCCUGGCAGUGGCCCUGUCACUGUGAUCUAUAGUGACACCAAUAGACCCGCAAACAUCCCUUCGCGAUUCUCCGGUUCUGCAUCUGGCUCCAUGGCCACGUUAACCAUCACUGGGGUCCAAGCCGAGGACGAGGCUGUCUACUACUGUGGUUUCCUAGUCCAGGCAGCAUGUCUGAGUCAGUUGUCCUUGUUGUCACCCAACCUGGGAAAAACCGUCAAGAUCACCUGCUCUGGGGGUGGCAGCAGCUAUGCCUGGUUCCAGCAGAAGGUCCCUGGCAAUGCCCCUGUCACUGUCAUCUACUAUGUUGAU